UACAGAGGUCUCAAGCGUUGUUCGGAUUCAUUGGGCGUAAAGGGUGCGUAGGUGGCGCUGUAAGUCGGGUGUGAAAUUUCGGAGCUUAACUCCGAAACUGCAUUCGAUACUGCGGUGCUUGAGGACUGGAGAGGAGACUGGAAUUCAUGGUGUAGCAGUGAAAUGCGCAGAUAUCAGGAGGAACACCAAUGGCGAAGGCAGCUCGCUGGAACGGUACUGACGCUGAGGCGCGAAAGCGUGGGGAGCAAACAGG
rnacentral:rRNA from 1 species